CUCGGGAUCCGGAUUAAGGCCUUCGACACCGUCGAAUAAACUCGGAUCGGCAUUGAGGAAAUGCGGCAGAGACAUCGCAGCUGGGAUGUCUGUAAGCAAAGAAAAGUCGUGUCGUAUGCAAGUAGUAUGAUUAUUCAGGAUGAGAGACUUUCAUCGGUUCAACUCCUCCGUUCCUUCUACGACGCUAAAUGUGUUAUUUACACGAGGAACUCGAUGAGCCGGUUAGUAGCUGGUAACUGCAGGGAAAUCAACGCGAGUUCUGUAGCUGUUGUUAAUGAUAAUCCUACCAAUCAAAUCCACAUGCAGCUUCAAUAUGUCCACCUCUGAGGUUCGUACACUCCCGCAAACGAACUUCCAUAUUUCGGCGAAUUUUCCCACCAAGAUUGGGAAUUGAUCGAAAAUAAUUAAAAGCUUCUUCGAUUCGAUGUUUUAAAUGAUCAACUGAUCCGAACUGUUGACCUGAGCGAUAGACAAUUCAGCUGAUGAAGCUGGACAAGGAGGCAUGCCUUACUUCGAAUAAUCCGGACUAACGGUGGGAUUUUCCGGGUGCGGAGAAGAAACAUAAACCGAAUAGACAUUCGUUAAAGAAAUGGACCAUUUUAAUCGUCAGCAUAAAGUGCUUGAAAACGCAUAACUCAUCGCUGCUCUGUCAAUAGUAUGCUAUUUACAUAUAUAUUGGCGCUGGAUGUAAAAAUUUACAAAUAAAGAAGCUGCAAAAAUGAUGAGAAAUGCAACAUCAUUUCUUAAGAGAACUGUUGUAGAUGUGGCACAUGGCUUAUUUCACAAAGUUCAUCGUUAUGACCACUGAAACACGAUUAAACAAACAAAAAAUUGUUUCUUUUUACCUUGAUUUUCAAGUUCAAGGUCAAUUUUACGAGGAGUUUUUUAUGUCAAUUUCCACCAAAUCGUAGGUGUAGAAUCAUAGCGGGCGUGACAUAUCAUUUCGUGACACCCUGUACAAGUCUGAGGAAGUUGAUUUCACAGACAAUCGACAGAUACACAAUAAGUAUCUAUUUCUCAAAAUCCUAUAUUUUGACUUGUUAGACAUUGACUAGUACUAACGAAUAUUGACUUUAAUAACAGUGGCACACUUACUUAAAUAAAAGAUAAUAUUCCUUUAACUUUUUUGUCAAAAAAAUUGUGUCAUAUUUUCUCUAAAUUUCACUGUUAAAUUGCAUCUAAAAAAGAAAAAAAAAGAAAAAAAACAAGAAAGCAGAACAAAAAUAAGAAAUCAUUCGAAUUUCUUGACUCUUGACUCGUGGGAAUUUCACGAAUGAAGAAUAUGUGCCAUCCGAUUCUAGAAUUGAAAUAUAUCAUUGAAGGUUUCUCAUAUGUCCUUUUUCCUAGAAUUUACACAAUAUUAUAAUUACUCUAAUUACGAUCACCUUUUAUUGAUUUUUAUAACUUCUGGUUAUUGGAAUAGAUUGCGAAACGUGUAAAUCGAUCCCUGACAAGACUGGUUUCCCUCAAUUUUAUUCAUUUGAUGGUUGUUCGUUACAGAGUCGGGGGUACUGGACUAAUUACUCAACAAGUUAUUCGCAAAUGUAUUAAUAAUUUCAACACGAUAUGCUUUUUGUUUCAGAUCCAAUAAAGAAAUUUAACAAAGUAUACAAGUAUGCAAGAAAGUAGAUAAUGUUUAUUUAAAUCUUGCGUGUAAAAUUCCGGUUCCUUUAAGAUUUAUUUGAAACGUUUAAAAAAUUGUUUAGGAAUGAUACAUGCAUAUUAGAGAAAAAAGUACAUCGACAAUUAUGGAUCAAUUUUGUUCUUUCCAUUCGAUUUUUUAUUAUUCUUCUUUCAAUUUAUUACCUAGAAGUGGAGAAAACAUUGAAAACAUUAAUUUCGUAGGAAUUAUGACUUAGUGUUUAU